CCUACGGGGGGCUGCAGUCACGAAUCUUCCUCAAUGGCCGAAAGGCUGACGGAGCAAUGCCGCGUGUAUGAAGACGUCCUUCGGGGUGUAAAAUACUUUUAACUGGGACGAAUCAAUGACGGUACCAGUUGAAUAAGGGGCUGCUAACCUCGUGCCAGCAGCAGCGGUAAUACGAGGGCCCCGAGCGUUAUCCGGAUUUAUUGGGCGUAAAGGGUCCGUAGGCUGUUUGCCGAAUCUCCUGUUAAAUCUAUCGGCUCAACCGAUAGGCCGCGGGAGAGAUGAGCAGACUAGAGGCCGGAAGAGGCAAGCGGAAUUGCUGGUGUAGGGGUUAAAUCCGUUAAUAUCAGCAGGAACACCAAAUGCGUAGGCAGCUUGCUGGAACGAGCCUGACGCUAAGGGACGAAAGCGUGGGUAGCGAAUGGGAUUAGAUACCCCUGUAGUC
rnacentral:rRNA from 1 species